AUUGAAAUACCAGUUCUAGUAUGAUCAUAGAAGUUAAGCAAUGUUGAGUCUGGUCAGUACCUAGAUGGGUGACGGCUUGGGAAUACCAGGUGCUGUAAG